UCAUAAUGCAGCGGAUCCGCAUGGAUAUGUUGUUAAAGGUUUACCGCCUUGGGAUAGGCUUGCGUCUGAUUAGCUAGUUGGUGUGGUAACGGCACACCAAGGCUACGAUCAGUAACUGGUCUGAGAGGAUGAUCAGUCACACUGGAACUGAGACACGGUCCAGACUCCUACGGGAGGCAGCAGUGAGGAAUAUUGGGCAAUGCUCGAAAGAGUGACCCAGCAACGCCGCGUGGAGGAUGAAGGUAUUCUAUAUCGUAAACUCCUGUGAGAGCAGGCGAAAGACAGAUUAUUAAUCUGGAUGGCUGUAUGCUCAGAGGAAGCCCCGGCUAACUACGUG
rnacentral:rRNA from 1 species